rnacentral:lncRNA from 1 species
GUUGGCGCUUGCCGAGACGUCGCUCGCCUUGGUUCGCUUCGCGCUCGCUUCCAGCCGCGACCUUUUUGGCCUGCUUUUUGGCCUGCUUUUUGGCAUGUCUCUUGCUCUGUUUCUUGCUGCGUUUUUCGCUCUUGCCGUGUGUCGACCUCUCCUUCUUGGCGGACUUGGUCGUCGUCUUGCCCUUUUUCUUUUUCUCUCUGGGCGCCUUUGACGAUGAUGCUGAUGACGUUGAUGUUUUCGAUGUCGACGGCGACGAGGUCGCCGCCGCCGUCGUUGUCGUUGACGCCGCAUCCGACAACGGUUGGUGCAGCGCGGG